CGGAUGGCUGAGAGUGUUGGGAGCAAGGCUUACCUGAUGGAUGUCUGGAUGCAGUGGAUCAGACACAGCGCAUGCGCACUCAGGGGUAGGAGAUUUCUUAGAACAAAUGGCCAUCAGAUCUCUAUUCCCCCUGAGUGCGCAUGCGCGGUGCUGGGUAGGCGCGUGCGCAGUGUGGGGCAGGGAGAUCGGAUUACUGUUCGGCUUAAGCGAUCUCCCUGCCCGCUGGUGCGCACGCGCGGUGUAUCCCGUUGUCUGUGCCCGACGGGAGUACUUAGCCGCGCGUGCGCACUGGCCCCUACCUCCCCCUCCUCUUGUGGUUCCAGGCGCAAGCGCAAUGUGGGGUUCGCGCAUGCGCAUUCGUUGGCCUCCUCUCCGUACUGUCUAAGAUGAUGUUGGCAACCUGUUCUUCUGCGCCUGCGCGGCGCUACGCUCCUCCUCCUCCAGCAGUAAAACAAAAUUUCCGGUGCGGCCGUGUCACUUCCGGUGCUGCCGCGUCACUUCCGGUAUAUCAAUCUGACGAGGUAUAGUGAUCUGACAGAACACCAGGUCCCUCUAGUUUUCACCCUGCAGCUGAAAACAGCAGUUUCAGAGAAACUGCUAUGUUUACACUGAGGGUUACUCCAGCUUCUAGUGACUUUCUCACUGACAGCCACUAGAGGCCACUUCCGAGAUUCUCACUGUGAAAAAAACAGUGAGAAGACGCAACCAUAGGAAAGUAUUGAGUAAUGCUUUCCUAUGGGCGGUUUGAAUGCGCUCGUGACUCUUGUCGCGCAUUCGGUGCUGUCGUCUGCAGGAGAAGGAGAGUUCCCCGGCGCUGGAGAAAGGUAAGUGGCUGAAUGGGUUUUAACCCCUUAAGGACACGUGACAUGUCAUGAUUCCCUUUUAUUCCAGAAGUUUGGUCCUUAAGGAGUUAAAGGGGCCCAGAGGGUGGGGGAUACUUAAGGAUUACAUAGUGCCAGGAAAACGAGUUUGUUUUCCUGGCACUAUAGUGCUCCUUUAACCCCUUAAGGAUGGCAGGCGUUCUAUGCCUUCCCUAGGGAACCAGCUCUAAACGCCUGAGGGGGGCAUAGAACGCCUAAGCCGUCCUUUGUACUUACCGGUCACGGGCAAUCCCUCCAUCCUCUUCGGCCCCCCUGGGCCAUGGGAUAGCGAGGUCCUUACGAGGACCUCGCGGUCACAUGGACGGCAUAGCCGUCCAAGGCACAGCCAGCAGGGGGUGUGCCUGUAAUGACAGAUACUCUCCCUGCUGUCUGUAAAAUGUAAAAAUAUAAAGUUAAU